rnacentral:rRNA from 1 species
UACAGAGAGAAGCGAUNCGGCGACGCAGAGCGGAACUUCAAAGCCUGUCUCAGUUCGGAUUGGAGUCUGCAACCCGACUCCAUGAAGCUGGAUUCGCUAGUAAUCGCGCAUCAGCCACGGCGCGGUGAAUACGUUCCCGGGCCUUGUACACACCGCCCGUCAAGCCAUGGAAGCCGGGAGUGCCUGAAGUGUGCAACCGCAAGGAGCGCCCUAAGGUAAAACCGGCGACUGGGGCUAAGUCGUAACAAGGUAAC